GGGGAUGUAGCUCAGGGGAUGUAGAGCGCACGCUUCGCAUGUGUGAGGUCCCGGGUUCAAUCCCCGGCAUCUCCA
rfam:Astyanax mexicanus chromosome 14, whole genome shotgun sequence.